rnacentral:rRNA from 1 species
GACGAACGCUGGCGGCGUGCCUAAUACAUGCAAGUCGAACGCUGAAGGAGGAGCUUGCUCUUCUGGAUGAGUUGCGAACGGGUGAGUAACGCGUAGGUAACCUGCCUGGUAGCGGGGGAUAACUAUUGGAAACGAUAGCUAAUACCGCAUAACAGUAGAUGUUGCAUGACAUUUGCUUAAAAGGUGCAAUUGCAUCACUACCAGAUGGACCUGCGUUGUAUUAGCUAGUUGGUGGGGUAACGGCUCACCAAGGCGACGAUACAUAGCCGACCUGAGAGGGUGAUCGGCCACACUGGGACUGGGACACGGCCCAGACUCCUACGGGAGGGAGCAGUAGGGAAUCUUCGGCAAUGGACGGAAGUCUGACCGAGCAACGCCGCGUGAGGGAAGAAGGGUUUCGGAUCGGAAAGCUCCGUUGUAAGAGAAGAACGAGUGUGAGAGUGGAAAGUUCACACUGUGACGGUAUCUAACCAGAAAGGGACGGCUAACUACGUG